rnacentral:misc_RNA from 1 species
AGGAACACUGCUAUCUUCACCUAGCAAUAACUCAAAACCAUAACUUUUGGCUCAACGGACUUUGAAAUCUAAAUGCUAAAAUCUCCACAUAUCCCUUUAUUGGCUGGUGACUUCCAUCAGAGACGUUGCCUGUGGCUAACUAUCUAUUAGUUUCUGCAAUUUUUUUUCCAAAGCCUUAUUGAAAGCAUCUUCUGACAGUGACAACAUCUG